AGACUCUUUCUUUGCCUCUGCGACUGCAUUGGCUUCAGAAACUGGGGUUGAUCAAGGAGAUCUGAAUUCACUGUUUCUCAUCAGCAACUCAUUAUUUUGCUCAGCGAGCAAUAAACAUGAGUACAGACUUGCAUAUGUCUCAAAGCCUUUUUCACGAUAUUGUUGUUGCAACCACGUGAUAGGUUUGUUCCUAAGGUAUGCAUAUGCAACCCUUUGAUAGAUUCACUUACAUGAAAAAAAAAAAACUUUAAUCUCGCAACACCAGUAACGUCGGUAUCAGUUUCUAAAGCGACCAACGAGUUUGGGUUCGUUUCAAGUAGGAGCUUGAAAUACGGCUGGAUCAAAUCGUAGCUACCCAUAGAUGAUCCCAUUGUGUCCAUCGCUAUCUCUAGCUCUCC
rnacentral:lncRNA from 1 species